GUGCUUGCUUCAGCAGCACAUACACGAAAAUUAGAAUAAUACAGAGAUUAGUCUGGCCCCUGAGCAAGAAUGACACACAAAUUCACGAAGUGUUCCAUAUUUUU